CAAUAGCGUAUAUUAAAGUUGCUGCAGUUAAAAAGCUCGUAGUUGGAUUUCGGGUGGGAAUGGCCGGUCCGCCGUUUCGGUGUGCACUUGCUACGCCCACCUUGCUGCCGGGGACGUGCUCUUGAGUUCACGCUCGGGACACGGAGUCGGCGAGGUUACUUUGAGUAAAUUAGAGUGUUCAAAGCAGGCCUACGCUCUGAAUACAUUAGCAUGGAAUAACACGAUAGGACUCUGGCCUAUCUUGUUGGUCUGUAGGACCGGAGUAAUGAUUAAGAGGGACAGUCGGGGGCAUUCGUAUUUCAUUGUCAGAGGUGAAAUUCUUGGAUUUAUGAAAGACGAACUACUGCGAAAGCAUUUGCCAAGGAUGUUUUCAUUAA
rnacentral:rRNA from 1 species